GCCCGGGUAGCUCAAUCGGUAGAGCGUGUGGCUCUUAUAACAUCAGGAAUAUCCUUUCCUAGGUGUUCCUGGUAGUAGAUGAUACAAAAACCUCAAGGUCGUGGGUUCGAGCCCCACCUCGGGCU